CCGACUGCUAUCAGAGUGGGACUAAGCCAUGCGAGUCAACGUAGAAAUACGUGGCGAACGGCUCAGUAACACGUAGUCAACAUGCCCAGGGGACGUGGAUAACCUCGGGAAACUGAGGAUAAACCGCGAUAGGCCAUGAUUUCUGGAAUGGUUCAUGGCUGAAAUCUAUAUGGCCUCUGGAUUGGACUGCGGCCGAUCAGGCUGUUGGUGAGGUAAUGGCCCACCAAACCUGUAACCGGUACGGGCUUUGAGAGGAGGAGCCCGGAGAUGGGCACUGAGACAAGGGCCUAGGCCCUAUGGGGCGCAGCAGGCGCGAAAUCUCUGCAAUAGGCGAAAGCUUGACAGGGUUACUCUGAGUGAUCUCCGCUAAGGGGAUCUUUUGGCACCUCUAAAAAUGGUGCAGAAUAAGGGGGUGGGCAAGUCUGGUGUCAGCCGCCGCGGUAAUACCAGCACCCCGAGUGGUCGGGACGAUUAUUGGGCCUAAAGCAUCCGUAGCCGGUACUGCAAGUCUUCCGUUAAAUCCACCUGCUUAACAGUUGGGCUGCGGAGGAUACUACAGCGCUAGGAGGCGGGAGAGGCAAGCGGUACUCAGUGGGUAGGGGUAAAAUCCGCUGAUCCAUUGAAGACCACCAGUGGCGAAGGCGGCUUGCCAGAACGCGCUCGACGGUGAGGGAUGAAAGCUGGGGGAGCAAACCGGAUUAGAUACCCGGGUAGUCCCAGCUGUAAACGAUGCAGACUCGGUGAUGGGCU
rnacentral:rRNA from 1 species